CCAAUAGCGUAUAUUAAAGUUGUUGCAGUUAAAAAGCUCGUAGUUGAAUUUCGGGAUUAGUACGUUGGUCGUGCCUUGGUACGUACUGGUGUAACUGAUUCCUCCCUUCUGACGAACCGUUAUGCCAUUAAUUUGGUGUGGCGGGAAAUCAGGACUGUUACUUUGAAAAAAUUAGAGUGUUUAAAGCAGGCUCGCGCUUGAAAAAAUUAGCAUGGAAUAAUGAAAUAGGACGUUAAUCCUAUUUUGUUUGUUUCUAGGAUCGACGUAAUGAUUAAUAGGGAUAGUUGGGGGCAUUAGUAUUCAAUUGUCAGAGGUGAAAUUCUUUGAUUUAUUGAAGACUAACUACUGCGAAAGCAUUUGCCAAGGAUGUUUUCAUUAAUCAAGAACGAAAGUUAGGGGAUCGAAGACGAUCAGAUACCGUCGUAGUCUUAACCAUAAACUAUUCCGACUAGGGAUCGGAUGAUGUUAAUUUUUUAAUGACUCAUUCGGCGCCUUACG
rnacentral:misc_RNA from 1 species